UACGAAGGGGGCUAGCGUUGCUCGGAAUCACUGGGCGUAAAGCGCACGUAGGCGGCUUGUUAAGUCAGGGGUGAAAUCCUGGAGCUCAACUCCAGAACUGCCUUUGAUACUGAUGAGCUUGAGUUCGGGAGAGGCGAGUGGAAUUCCGAGUGUAGAGGUGAAAUUCGUAGAUAUUCGCAAGAACACCAGUGGCGAAGGCGGCUCACUGGCCCGGUACUGACGCUGAGGUGCGAAAGCGUGGGGAGCAAAGCAGG
rnacentral:rRNA from 1 species